AAUCUAAAGAUAAACCUAAUCACUUCAAACGUAAGGUGAGAAAAUCACAGAAAAUAGGAAACCUAAUCCUCUCAUUUUAUCGUUCUUUUCAUAACAGUUCCACUUUGAUCCUCUCGACCGUGGUUGGGUUAUUAGAUUCGAGUCCUGAUGAUUUCGAGAUCGGGUUUCAUCUGAGAUUUCUGUUUCUAUCUAUCUGGCUUGAGAGGACAAACGAUUUUUAUGGGGAAACCGAAAAUAAACCUAUCCAACAGACAACUACAUCGGAUUGAGUUAAUGUUGCAUAGCGGAAGUCUUGCGACGAUCUUUCCACUCUUUGUCACCUUGCAUUGCUUCUGAUUGUCUAGGCCUGAGUAAUUUUCUAGGGAAAGCUUGUCUUUGAUGUUUCGGUUUGGUAUGAUUGAUCAAUCCUUGAACACUGCUAAUAUAAGGUGCAGCUCCAUCUCCUACACUUAGCAGCCAUUCCGCAAAGCUUUCUUGUGAUUCAUCAACUCUCAUGUUCUGUUUGAGAUCGAAGACGUUGCAGAAGUCCCACAAGUGUGACUGUUUUAUUGAUGCUAAAACUGCAUCAGCUCUAGAACCUUGUGGAAUUAUCGGUAGCGUUUGCCUGAAGUCUCCACCUAAUAGUACAGUUUUGCCUCCAAAAGGUUGGUCUUUAACUUUUGGAUCUUUAAUGGACAUCAAAUCUCGCAGUGUUCUGUCAAGGGCUUCAAAUGCAUGCCGAUUUGUCAUAGGUAAAAGCAAUGCUGCGAUGCCAGAGGAAGCAACUGGGAGCACAAUUUUUUUUUCUGAUCGCAACUUAGAAAUAAUGGUGUUGUAAAGGCUUACGUUGAUGAAUGUGGAAGGAAAAAGUCCUCCACGUGGCUUCACAAGCAGAUACAUAUCGGCAUUCAAGGUACUCUUGUAUCUCAUCUCUUGGUCUUUUCGUUGAUACACUAUCUUGUGUGUGUUUUGAAGCCUCGGGACCUUUUUCUAUCACAAUGGUAGCUUUGUCGACUCCUUUUGUAAUGUAUUUGAAAAGAUACUUGACAGCAUUUGUUCUGUUGCACCACUCCAUGUUUAUAUGAGCUUGAUAUUUUUUUAAAAUAGCUAAAUUGUGUGGAACAACAUAGCGAUUAUCCAACUUUGUUUUUCCUUUGAUCACAAAGUUACCUUCAUCUUGCCGUCGCCGGUAAAUUAUAUAGCCAGAUUUGUCGAUUGAGGUUUGAUCAGUAUAUUGCCUUGGGUACGUAUCUUUUUGAACAUUCUUUAUUUCUCAUGCAAGGAGAUUUUGGUCGAUUCAAUCCACAUGGGCCGUGCAUCAUGUGUUUCUCCACAAGCUCAAACCCUUGUUGGUCAUUCUCUUUAUGCGGUAGUUCGGCAGAGAUUAUUGCGUCAACUUCAUUUGUUGUUGGAAUUCUUGAUGCACCAUCCAACCAAAUGAGCAUAUGUGCAUGUGGCAAUCCUCGUUUUUGAAAUUCGAUGGUGUGCAGCACUGUAAAAAAAAACAUGUCUAUCAUUUCCGGAUCCACCACCACAUGCCUCCAGAUGGUCAUUUAUCUCUUUCCAAUUUGGAUUGGCUGUCAUAGUAAUGAACAAAUCUGGAUUUCCGUAUGUUCGACAUAUUGCCAUUGCGUCAUGAUACUUUUCGAUCAUGUAUCUAGGGCUUCCAGUAAAACUUGAAGGUAGAAUCACUCUUUUCCCAUGUACUCUUGCUUCAGUAUCACCUUUACAAACUGCAUCACACACAUUGUUGUACAAAUCCGCUCUUAGCUGCUCUUGAUUGUUUUUGUUCCACCUUAGUCUUUCCGCUUCGAUAGCUGUGUAUGCAUCAACUACAUAUUGAUGUAAUAAACGUCC